rnacentral:rRNA from 1 species
GAUGAACGCUGGCGGCGUGCCUAACACAUGCAAGUCGAACGGAGUCCAGCCUUUAAGACCUUCGGGUCAAAGAGGGGAAGACUGAGUGGCGGACGGGUGAGUAACACGUGGGCAACCUGGCUCAUAGAGGGGGAUAACAGAGAGAAAUUUCUGCUAAUACCGCAUAAGCACACACUGCCGCAUGGCAGAGGGUGAAAAAAGAAUGGCUAUGAGAUGGACCCGCGUCUGAUUAGCCAGUUGGCAGGGUAAGAGCCUACCAAAGCGACGAUCAGUAGCCGAUCUGAGAGGAUGAACGGCCACAUUGGGACUGAGACACGGCCCAAACUCCUACGGGAGGCAGCAGUGGGGGAUAUUGCACAAUGGGGGGAACCCUGAUGCAGCGACGCCGCGUGAGUGAAGAAGUAUUUCGGUAUGUAAAGCUCUAUCAGCAGGGAAGAUAAUGACAGUACCUGAAGAAGAAGCCCCGGCUAACUACGUG